rnacentral:lncRNA from 1 species
GAAAUGGGUCUGACUCUUUAGUCUGGGUUCUUUCUUCGGCUAAGUCUUAGUUCGUAUCAAUUUGGUAUCAGAGCAGGUUCGGGAUUUCAAAAAAAAAGAAAAGAAGAGAAAUUCAGAAAAAAAAAGUCUAGAGACCCAUCAAUAGAAAUUUUUCCAAAAUCAUCAUCUAUACCCUCCAAUACCCUUUCAGGUGAAAUUUGACGCUAUCAAAAAAAUUUGACCCAAAAUUCCAAUUUUACCCCUGCACCCC